rnacentral:rRNA from 1 species
AUUGAACGCUGGCGGCAGGCCUAACACAUGCAAGUCGGACGGUAACAGGAAGCAGCUUGCUGCUUCGCUGACGAGUGGCGGACGGGUGAGUAAAGUCUGGGAAACUGCCUGAUGGGGGGGGAUAACUACUGGAAACGGUAGCUAAUACCGCAUAACGUCGCAAGACCAAAGAGGGGGACCUUCGGGCCUCUUGCCAUCAGAUGAGCCCAGAUGGGAUUAGCUGGUAGGUGGGGUAACGGCUCACCUAGGCGACGAUCCCUAGCUGGUCUGAGAGGAUGACCAGCCACACUGGAACUGAGACACGGUCCAGACUCCUACGGGAGGCAGCAGUGGGGAAUAUUGCACAAUGGGCGCAAGCCUGAUGCAGCCAUGCCGCGUGUAUGAAGAAGGCCUUCGGGUUGUAAAGUACUUUCAGCGAGGAGGAAGGUGUUGUGGUUAAUAACCGCAGCAAUUGACGUUACUCGCAGAAGAAGCACCGGCUAACUCCGUGCCAGCAGCCGCCGUAA